GUGGCUUUGUUUUCAGCUGGACCAUCAAAGCAGACGGGAAUUACAGUGAGUCCCAUGCCUGACCUCCAGAAUUUGUGUAGGGGAGGGAGGUUACAGGCAUGAUAUUUAGGUGAUGUCUGUUAGGACUUCAGCACCUUGGCUGCCU
ensembl:miRNA eca-mir-8961 eca-mir-8961